rnacentral:rRNA from 1 species
CGGACCGGCGCACGGGUGCGUAACGCGUAUGCAACCUACCUUUAACAGGGGGAUAACACUGAGAAAUUGGUACUAAUACCCCAUAAUAUCAUAGAAGGCAUCUUUUAUGGUUGAAAAUUCCGAUGGUUAGAGAUGGGCAUGCGUUGUAUUAGCUAGUUGGUGGGGUAACGGCUCACCAAGGCGACGAUACAUAGGGGGACUGAGAGAUUAACCCCCCACACUGGUACUGAGACACGGACCAG